CGUCAAGUCAUCAUGGCCCUUAUAUCCUGGGCUACACACGUGCUACAAUGGCAGGUACAGAGUGAAGCAAAGCAGUGAUGCGGAGCAAACCGCAGAAAACCUGUCUCAGUACAGAUUGGAGUCUGAAACCCGACUCCAUGAAGGUGGAAUCGCUAGUAAUCGCGCAUCAGCAUGGCGCGGUGAAUACGUUCCCGGGCCUU
rnacentral:rRNA from 1 species